UCGCAACAUGGCACCAGGAGAGUCCGUCUUCUGCUUUGUUGCUAAUAUCCAACAGUCCUCUCCAGCAAGGGAGCAGAUGAAAACAUUGGUUGCUGCUCAUUCUAAAGGAAAAUUCAUCAUGAGGUGAAUGACUUCAACACUAGAUGUUUUUAAGGUGAGAGAAGAUGACCCCUUCUCAAAGAACAGAAUGAUUUGAUUCAGCAGGACAACCCUGAGAAGAGUGACUGCACCAUUUGCCAGUGAUGGUAAUGGAGAAAGCCAAGGGCUGCUGCAGCAGUUUUGUGGUACUUAUUUUGAUAGCCCAGCAAGUCUAAGACGACUUCAGCCGUUGGCAAAAAGAGUCCAAUGAGUUUAAGACGACUUCAGCCGUUGGCGGCACGUGAUGUCAAGAGGAUGUCUCAGGAUGAAGACUGAUGAAGAAUGUUGUACGUGUGCAUGUUCAGUAUUUCUAUGUGCAUUUUAUUUGUGUUUAUCUUGGAAUAGCACUGGAGUGGAAUACAAAGUUAUGAAUUUUAACCUGGCACCAUGAACCUUGUC